UUUCCCUACGGGGCGCAGCAGUGGGGAAUAUUGCACAAUGGGGGAAACCCUGAUGCAGCGACGCCGCGUGAGUGAAGAAGUAUUUCGGUAUGUAAAGCUCUAUCAGCAGGGAAGAAAAUGACGGUACCUGAGUAAGAAGCCCCGGCUAACUACGUGCCAGCAGCCGCGGUAAUACGUAGGGGGCGAGCGUUAUCCGGAUUUACUGGGUGUAAAGGGAGCGUAGACGGCAAUGCAAGUCUGAAGUGAAACCCCAAGGCUCAACCAUGGGCAUGCUUCGGAAACUGUGUAGCUAGAGUGCAGGAGAG
rnacentral:rRNA from 1 species